GUCCUCACUUUGUCAGCACAUAUACUAAAAUUGGAAUGAUACAGAGAAGACUAGCACGGCCCCUGUGCAAGGAUGACGUGCAAAUUCAUGAAGCGUUCCAUAGUUUU
rnacentral:snRNA from 1 species